UACGGGGGGGGCAAGCGUUGUUCGGAAUUACUGGGCGUAAAGGGCUCGUAGGCGGCCAACUAAGUCCGACGUGAAAUCCCCAGGCUUAACUUGGGAACUGCGUCGGAUACUGGUUGGCUUGAAUCCGGGAGAGGGAUGCGGAAUUCCGGGUGUAGCGGUGAAAUGCGUAGAUAUCGGGAGGAACACCAGUGGCGAAGGCGGCGACCUGGACGGAUAUUGACGCUGAGACGCGAAAGCGUGGGGAGCAAACAGG
rnacentral:rRNA from 1 species